GGAGCCAGGAGCUCCAUGAGAGCUCUACAAACCCUAAUCAUGAAGAUCAUCAAAUCAAAAGGCAAGAUGAAGCCUAAAUCCAUAACCAAGCAUGGAUUAAUGAUCACUAACACGAGGGGAUCAUAAGGAUCAUGUCAAGAUGGGGGAAAGCAUGGAAGGCUAACGGAAAGGAUAUGAGGAAGCAUGUACGAAACGGGCACUCGAGGUUGUACGAAUCACAGAUUAUCAUCACGAGGAGUAGCGAUCAAAGAUCGAGUCACAAGAUAGAUUAUACGUGAAUGUUUGAGUAUGUAAUUUGAUAAACGUAAGUUAUGCUUUUAUUUUAUUAAAUGAGUACGAAGGAUGCAUAUAUUGUAAAAGAGUUAUUUUAAAAUGAACU